CCUACGAGUGGCAGCAGUGAGGAAUAUUGGUCAAUGGGAGAGAUCCUGAACCAGCCAAGCCGCGUGAGGGAAGACGGCCCUAUGGGUUGUAAACCUCUUUUGUCGGAGAACAAAACCCGGGACGUGUCCCGGACUGCGUGUCUCCGAAGAAAAAGCAUCGGCUAACUACGUGCCAACAGCCGCGGUAAUACGGAGGAUGCGAGCGUUAUCCGGAUUUAUUGGGUUUAAAGGGUGCGUAGGCGUUCCGUUAAGUCAGCGGUAAAAUUGCGGGGCUCAACCCCGUCGAGCCGUUGAAACUGGCAGACGUGAGUAGGCGAGAGGUGCGCGGAAUGCGCGGUGUAGCGGUGAAAUGCAUAGAUAUCGCGCAGAACUCCGAUUGCGAAGGCAGCGUACCGGCGCCAGACUGACGCUGAGGCACGAAAGCGUGGGGAUCGAACAGGAUUAGAUACCCUAGUAGUC
rnacentral:rRNA from 1 species